GAUGAACGCUGGCGGUAUGCCUAACACAUGCAAGUCGUACGAGAGUUUUUAACUCUAGUGGCGGACGGGUGAGUAACACGUGAGAAUUUGCCUUUAGGAGGGGGAUAACAAUUGGAAACGAAUGCUAAUACCCCAUAUGCUUUUGAGUGAAAUGGAUUUUAUCCGCCUAGAGAGAAGCUCGCGGCUGAUUAGCUUGUUGGUAAGGUAAGAGCUUACCAAGGCGACGAUCAGUAUCUGGUUUGAGAGGACGAUCAGACACACUGGAACUGAGACACGGUCCAGACUCCUACGGGAGGCAGCAGUGAGGAAUAUUGGACAAUGGGCGCAAGCCUGAUCCAGCCAUGCCGCGUGCAGGAUGACGGGUCCUAUGGAUUGUAAACUGCUUUGUACAGGAAGAAACACCUCUACGUGUAGAGACUUGACGGUACUGUAAGAAUAAGGAUCGGCUAACUCCGUG
rnacentral:rRNA from 1 species